UACGUAGGGUGCAAGCGUUGUUCGGAAUCAUUGGGCGUAAAGGGCGCGUAGGUGGUUCUGUAUGUCUAUCGUGAAAGCGUACGGCUCAACCGUAUUUUGUCGGUAGAAACUGCAAGGCUCGAGUCCGGGAGAGGGGGGUGGAAUUCCCAGUGUAGCGGUGAAAUGCGUAGAUAUUGGGAGGAACACCGGUGGCGAAGGCGGCCCCCUGGACCGGUACUGACGCUGAGGCGCGAAAGCGUGGGUAGCAAACGGG
rnacentral:rRNA from 1 species